AGAGUUUGAUCCUGGCUCAGGAUGAACGCUGGCGGCGUGCUUAACACAUGCAAGUCGAACGAAGCACUUUAUUUGAUUUCCUUCGGGACUGAUUAUUUUGUGACUGAGUGGCGGACGGGUGAGUAACGCGUGGGUAACCUGCCUUGUACAGGGGGAUAACAGUUGGAAACGGCUGCUAAUACCGCAUAAGCGCACGGCAUCACAUGAUGCAGUGUGAAAAACUCCGGUGGUAUAAGAUGGACCCGCGUUGGAUUAGCUAGUUGGUGAGGUAACGGCCCACCAAGGCGACGAUCCAUAGCCGACCUGAGAGGGUGACCGGCCACAUUGGGACUGAGACACGGCCCAAACUCCUACGGGAGGCAGCAGUGGGGAAUAUUGCACAAUGGGCGAAAGCCUGAUGCAGCGACGCCGCGUGAGCGAAGAAGUAUUUCGGUAUGUAAAGCUCUAUCAGCAGGGAAGAUAAUGACGGUACCUGACUAAGAAGCACCGGCUAAAUACGUGCCAGCAGCCGCGGUAAUACGUAUGGUGCAAGCGUUAUCCGGAUUUACUGGGUGUAAAGGGAGCGCAGGCGGUGCGGCAAGUCUGAUGUGAAAGCCCGGGGCUCAACCCCGGUACUGCAUUGGAAACUGUCGUACUAGAGUGUCGGAGGGGUAAGCGGAAUUCCUUGCGUAGCGGUGAAAUGCGUAGAUAUAAGGAAGAACACCAGUGGCGAAGGCGGAUUACCGGACGGUAACUGACGGUGAGGCGCGAAAGCGUGGGGAGCGAACAGGAUUUAGAUACCCUGGGUAGUCCACGGCUGUAAACGAUGGAUACUAGGUGUGGGGGGGACUGACCCCCUGCGUGCCGCAGUUAACACAAUAAGUAUCCCACCUGGGGAGUACGAUCGCAAGGUUGAAACUCAAAGGAAUUGACGGGGGCCCGCACAAGCGGUGGAUUAUGUGGUUUAAUUCGAAGCAACGCGAAGAACCUUACCAGGUCUUGACAUCCUGCUAACGAAGUAGAGAUACAUUAGGUGCCCUUCGGGGAAAGCAGAGACAGGUGGUGCAUGGUUGUCGUCAGCUCGUGUCGUGAGAUGUUGGGUUAAGUCCCGCAACGAGCGCAACCCCUAUUGUUAGUUGCUACGCAAGAGCACUCUAGCGAGACUGCCGUUGACAAAACGGAGGAAGGUGGGGACGACGUCAAAUCAUCAUGCCCCUUAUGACCUGGGUUACACACGUAAUACAAUGGCGGUCAACAAAGGGAUGCAAAGCCGCGAGGCAGAGCGAACCCCAAAAAGCCGUCCCAGUUCGGAUCGCAGGCUGCAACCCGCCUGCGUGAAGUCGGAAUCGCUAGUAAUCGUGGGUCAGCAUACCACGGUGAAUACGUUCCCGGGCCUUGUACACACCGCCCGUCA
rnacentral:rRNA from 1 species